AAGAAGAAGCGCGUCCGUUAGGAACGGAAUAUAACGAGAACGAAGAUCUGGACCGGAACGGAAAUCUGGACGAGAGGGACGAGCGGUUGGUCGUGACGAUACGCCACGCAAUGGAUCUGUGUUCGAAAACAAAUCGGCCGAGCGCGCCGUAGGUCGACGCGACCUUCGGCGUAACGCGUAUAGCUCCGCGAUCAUAACAGUGUCGGACGUGGGACAGUGAGCAAGCAAGACGACGUCGUCUGUAGUUUUCAGUUCUGUUAAAUUAAUCGGAGAGCUGGUAUGAUAAAAGUUUACAAUAUUCGCGCCGCGAUCGUCGUGUCUGCUGCAGUCGCAAGCAUUGAGAGCUUCGUGAGAUCGCAAAGGUCUGACGAAAUUUCUUACAGUCGCGCCGGGAAGGCUGAUGGACUCGACCUGGUGGACAGUUCCGGG